GCCUCAAUAGCUCAGCCCGGUAGAGCACUUCCAUGGUAAGGAAGGGGUCCUGGGUUCAAAUCCCAGUUGAGGCU
rnacentral:tRNA from 1 species